AGAGUUUGAUCAUGGCUCAGAAUCAACGCUGGCGGCGUGCCUAACACAUGCAAGUCGAACGAGAAAGGGUAGCAAUACCUGAGUAAAGUGGCGCACGGGUGAGUAACACGUGACUAACCUACCCUCGAGUGGGGAAUAACCUAGGGAAACCUGGGCUAAUACCGCAUAAUACCUACGGGUCAAGGGAGCAAUCCGCUUGA
rnacentral:rRNA from 1 species